GGUGAGGGCCCAGGGCUGGUAACUGUCCACAGGCAGCAGGGAGUCGUGGCGAGGCUCCCCCGGGGCGCCCAGAGUCUGCACCACCGACACAUCCAGCAAGGUGAGCGCCCGGUGGCUUCAUCAUCCCGCCUGGAACAGUGUAUAGGAUCGCGACGACCGCAGAACUCAGGGAAGCCCGGCAGGCGACAUCCCGGGGAUCAGUACCCUCUCAGGACAAAUCCAAGUGCUUCAGAAGCAGGGCCAGAGGAGAGAGCUACAAAAGGAGCCGAUGGGGGCCUCCAGCACAGAACACUGGAUCUGAGGAGCAAUGAAACGAUGGUCUGCUAAGGGAAGUGGCUAGUUCCAACCGCAGGCCGCUGCCGCCCGCCCUGAUGGUGCCUGGAAACCAGAGGAAGCGCUAAGCCAAG